rnacentral:rRNA from 1 species
UUCCGGUUGAUCCUGCCAGACCUGACUGCUAUCGGAUUGAUACUAAGCCAUGCGAGUCUUUGCAGUAAUGCAAGGCAUACGGCUCAGUAACACGUAGUCAACUUACCCUAUGGACGAGGAUAAUCUCGGGAAACUGAGCAUAAUACUCGAUAGAUCAUAAUGCCUGGAAUGGUUUAUGGUUGAAAUGAUUCGUCGCCAUAGGAUGGGACUGCGGCCUAUCAGCUUGUUGGUGAGGUAAUGGCCCACCAAGGCGAUUACAGGUACGGGCUCUGAGAGGAGAAGCCCGGAGAUGGGUACUGAGACAAGGACCCAGGCCCUAUGGGGCGCAGCAGGCGAGAAAACUUUGCAAUGUGCGAAAGCACGACAAGGUUAAUCCGAGUGAUUUCUGCUAAAGAAAUCUUUUGCAAGUCAUAAAACCACUAGUGAAUAAGGGGUGGGCAAGUUCUGGUGUCAGCCGCCGCGGUAAAACCAGCACCUCAAGUGGUCAGGAGGAUUAUUGGGCCUAAAGCAUCCGUAGCCGGCUCUGUAAGUUUUCGGUUAAAUCCAUGUGCUCAACAUAUGGGCUGCCGAAAAUACUGCAUAGCUAGGGAGUGGGAGAGGUAGACGGUACUCGGUAGGAAGGGGUAAAAUCCUUUGAUCUAUCGAUGACCACCUGUGGCGAAGGCGGUCUACCAGAACACGUUCGACGGUGAGGGAUGAAAGCUGGGGGAGCAAACCGGAUUAGAUACCCGGGUAGUCCCAGCUGUAAACGAUGCAGACUCGAUGAUGCAUUGGCAUAUAGCCAGUGCAGUGUCGCAGGGAAGCCGUUAAGUCUGCCGCCUGGGAAGUACGUACGCAAGUAUGAAACUUAAAGGAAUUGGCGGGGGAGCACCACAAGGGGUGAAGCCUGCGGUUCAAUUGGAUUCAACGCCGGA